rnacentral:rRNA from 1 species
AUAAACCUACGGGGGGCAGCAGUGAGGAAUAUUGGUCAAUGGGAGAGAUCCUGAACCAGCCAAGCCGCGUGAGGGAAGACGGCCCUAUGGGUUGUAAACCUCUUUUGUCGGAGAACAAAACCCGGGACGAGUCCCGGACUGCGUGUAUCCGAAGAAAAAGCAUCGGCUAACUCCGUGCCAGCAGCCGCGGUAAUACGGAGGAUGCGAGCGUUAUCCGGAUUUAUUGGGCGUAAAGGGCUCGUAGGCGGUUCGUCGCGUCCGGUGUGAAAGUCCAUCGCUUAACGGUGGAUCCG